rnacentral:rRNA from 1 species
AAUCAACGCUGGCGGCGUGCCUAACACAUGCAAGUCGAACGCGAAAGCCCCGCAAGGGGCGAGUAGAGUGGCAAACGGGUGAGUAACGCGUGGGUGACCUGCCUUCGAGUGGGGGAUAACGUCUCGAAAGGGACGCUAAUACCGCAUGACAUCUUGCCUUUAAAGAGGUGAUGAUCAAAGCCGGGGUCGCAAGACCUGGCGCUUGAAGAGGGGCCCGCGUCCGAUUAGCUAGUUGGUGAGGUAACGGCCCACCAAGGCGACGAUCGGUAUCCGGCCUAAGAGGGCGGACGGACACACUGGGACUGAGACACGGCCCAGACUCCUACGGGAGGCAGCAGUGGGGAAUUGUUCGCAAUGGGCGCAAGCCUGACGACGCAACGCCGCGUGGAGGAUGAAGAUCUUCGGAUUGUAAACCCCUUUCGGGAGGGAAGAUGGAAUGGGUAA